GGCCAGAGCCCGUCCACUGGCCCGGGGGUGGGGCUGGAGGAAGUGUAACCGAGGUUGCGGUUCGACGCCGGCGCGGGGACCCGGCAGCUGGGCUGAGGUCAGGCUCCAAGUUCCAGCGGACCUAGGCGUACGGUGUGGGUCGGGCGUUCCGCGUUCUUGCAGCCUUCUUUGCUAACGGGAUCGGAAGUAGGACAGAUCACGGCGCAGAGUAAGGGCGACGUGCACUUGUGUGUGUGUGAAUUGCGAGCAUAGCAAACCCGAGUGGGCGAUGAGGGACGUAUUUUUAAGCUGAUUCGAAUGGUACCGAGUGUGAGCAAAGUGCAAAGUCCUUCGAACCCACGGUGGCUCUUACUUCCUGCGGAGUCAGGGUGCUAAGGAGGCUCCAGACACUACAAGCUUCUGAGACAGUUUACAUGUAUCUUGCCCACUGAUAACCACCUCCACCCUCGACGUGAUUCAGCCCUUAUAUGCUAAAGACAAUCCUGAAAGGAACAUAAGAGGACUGAUGUUUACAUUGGUAUUCUCCAAAAUAAGCACAAGGCCAAGAUGACAUCUUCUUCCAAUAGAACGCCAUGAAAACCACUUUGAAAACCACUGUGUCAUACCAAAAUUUUCUUGAAGAAUAUCUCCCAUCCACUGAUCAGGAGCCAAUAUGCAUAUUCUUCCAGUUGCCAGGAAUGUCUAUUCCAGCUACGCAUUCAGAAAUCAUACAAUGCGGGCAGCCCUGGUGGCUCCUGGUUUAGCGCCGCCUUCAGCCCAGGGUUGUGGUCCUGGAGACCGGGGAUCCAGUCCCACAUUGGGCUCCUUGUUUGGAGCCUGCUUCUCCCCCUACCUGUGUCUCUGCCUCUCUCUAUCUGUAUCUCUCAUGAAUAAAUAAAUAAUCUUAAAAAAAAAAAAGAAAUCAUACAAUGCAAUGUACUAGAGCCCAAAUUGGAUUAACCAUGUGACCUUCAUGACCACUACUCUGACCAAUGGAUUUUAAUGGCUUGAGUGCGGGUAGGGAUUAGCAUACUCAUCCCAACUCAUACUCAACUUAUAUGAGUCUUCUAUAUUAGCUAGGAAUUUCUAAAAGGGAAAUUUCCCUCAUGCUCCUUAACUCUGUAAAAUGGCAGCUGGUUCCUUUUGUGGAGGAAAAAAGGGGAAGGAAGAGUUAUAGGAUAAAGUUUUGGCUGUGUCACAGGGUCCAUUCUCAUGAAGACUCACCUCCUCUUCAUUCAAGGUUCAUUUUUUAAAUAUAUCCUAACAUGCAUAGUUUUGAGAAGUGCCAAGAGUUGGUGUUGGAGGAGUCACAGCAAACACAUCUGUGGCCAAAAUUGUCAGAAAUGCAAGCAUUAUUAGGGCUCAUAAUUUUAGACCUGUGUUACAGGCUGGUUCUCGAAGACACUCUGCGCAAGAAGUAGGGACAGUAUAGCCCCCAUGCCCCUGGCCUGUCAGGAUCUGUCUCGGAGCUAUGACAAACUUGCAUCAUUCCUACCAAUUUAUACCAGCACUCCAGAUCCCAAACAACAAAUAACACUUUUUUCUUGUCCUCCCAAACUAGAUUUGCCAACAGUAAGAACUUGAGAAAUGCAACAAAAUUUCUGUGAAAGAUUUGUUUUGUUUUGUCUUGUUUUUUCCAAUGAAGACUUUAUAGGACAAUUUUUCCCUACCUGUUGGCAUGUGAUCAGACACUCAACAUAUAAAUUUCAGUAUUCCACAUGUUACUAUGAACCUUUGAGUACUCUCAGGCAUUCCUUCACAGAAAAGAUAUGAACUGGCAGAGUCCAAUUAGAAUUCCUAGUGCCAAACUGUAUAAACUUUCUCUCAGUUAUAACUUCUCUACUUCCAAGAUAUAUCACACAUUACAACAUUUCACUGGAGUGUUCUAUCAAGAAGAUGAAAAAGUUCUAGAGACGGAUGAUGGCUGCAUACCAAUCUAAACGCAGGCCACUGAACUGCAAACUUAAAAGCACUAAAAAGAUGAA